UGAUCUGCCUAUCUCGGCCUCCCAAAGUGCUGGGAUUACAGGUGUGAGCCACUGCGCCUGGCCUGCUGCAUGUUUUUAUCAUAGUGAGUUCAGGAAUUCUCAGGUGUUGCUGCAUCUUUUGAGAUGACUAUGUGGUUUUGUUUUUUAUCAUAUUAAUAUAGUGCAUGGCAUUAAUUGUACUUGAAUGUUGAACCAAAUGUUGCUUUCCUGAGGUAAAUACCCUUGACAUAUUUUAUAAUACUUUUUACAUGUUGCUGAUUUGUUUUACUAGGAUUUCCUUGAUGAUUUUUGGCUCUAUAUUCGUAAGGUGUGUUCUUAAUUUUCAUUAUUUGAAAUCUGUUUGUCUAGUUGCGGUAUCAGGGUAAACCAACUCACAGUAUAAAUGAAAUGCGAUGCCUUCUCCACUUUGUUGUUGUUGUUUUUAACAACUUAUUAUAAAUUAAUAUUAAUUGUUAAGUGAUUCCAAUAACUGACUAAUGAAUUAUCUUGACUGGGGCAAGGAAGCAAAUCCUAGGAACAAUCACGUGAGCUUGGAAGGAGACCUUUCCCCAGCUGAGCCUCAGCCUGGGCCAUCACCUGCAUCUGGACUGAAGACCCAAAGAAACUACUCCAUCAGGAAUUGUUUGAGACCAUGCAUUAUGUGGACACUCAUAUCGUGGAAUUAUAUUGCCAAUUGGCAUUCCUAAAGCUUCUACGCUAGCAGGUUUGGAGUAAUUCACCAGUGAAGUCUUCUCAACCUGGGCAAUCAUGUGAGCUUGGAAGAUGAUGCAUCCCCAUCUCAUCUUUCAGGUGAAACCUCAGCCUUGGCCAUCACCUACAUCUGGAUUUCUGACCCAGAGAAACUGUAAGUAAUGUGUGCAUGCUUUUGAGCCACUAAGCUACAUGGUAAUUGGCUAUGCUGCAAUAAACAAUAAUACACUUGAUGGUAAAUGUAAUAUGUUAUCCUGAAUUGGAUCAAAAAACAGAAAAAUGGCAUUGGGGAAAACCAGGUAAAAUAUGAAGACAGUCAGUACUUUAGUUAAUAGUCCUAUAUACCUUUAUCAAUUUUUUGAGUUUUCACAGAUAUUCUUGUUUAUGUAUGAUGUUAAUAUUACGGAAAGUUGAAGGGUAUAUGAAACUUUAUGUAAGAUCUCAGCAAUUUUCUGUAAAUUUAAAAUUUUAAAAUAAAUAGAAGUGUAGACAUUGCUCAUAUAUUUGAGAUCAGGACUUGCUGUUAACUUAAUUGAGCCUUUGUGGAACCUAAAACACAUGGUACAAAUGCAGUAACGUUAUAAAAUAUAAAUGAUAUGAUUUUCUAUUUUAUUCACUCGGGUUUUUUUUUGAGAC
rnacentral:lncRNA from 1 species